AGAUUGAACGCUAGCGGGAUGCUUUACACAUGCAAGUCGAACGGCAGCGCGGACUUCGGUCUGGCGGCGAGUGGCGAACGGGUGAGUAAUAUAUCGGAACGUGCCCAGUAGCGGGGGAUAACUACGCGAAAGCGUGGCUAAUACCGCAUACGCCCUACGGGGGAAAGGGGGGGAUUCUUUCGAGAACCUCUCACUAUUGGAGCGGCCGAUAUCAGAUUAGCUAGUUGGUGAGGUAAAGGCUCACCAAGGCGACGAUCUGUAGCUGGUUUGAGAGGACGACCAGCCACACUGGGACUGAGACACGGCCCAGACUCCUACGGGAGGCAGCAGUGGGAAUUUGGACAAGUGGGGAAACCUGAUCCAGCCAUCCCGCGUGUG
rnacentral:rRNA from 1 species